UUAUGAGAGUUUGAUCCUGGCUCAGGACGAACGCUGGCGGCGUGCCUAAUACAUGCAAGUCGAACGCUUCUUUUUCCACCGGAGCUUGCUCCACCGGAAAAAGAGGAGUGGCGAACGGGUGAGUAACACGUGGGUAACCUGCCCAUCAGAAGGGGAUAACACUUGGAAACAGGUGCUAAUACCGUAUAACAAUCAAAACCGCAUGGUUUUGAUUUGAAAGGCGCUUUCAGGUGUCGCUGAUGGAUGGACCCGCGGUGCAUUAGCUAGUUGGUGAGGUAACGGCUCACCAAGGCCACGAUGCAUAGCCGACCUGAGAGGGUGAUCGGCCACAUUGGGACUGAGACACGGCCCAAACUCCUACGGGAGGCAGCAGUAGGGAAUCUUCGGCAAUGGACGAAAGUCUGACCGAGCAACGCCGCGUGAGUGAAGAAGGUUUUCGGAUCGUAAAACUCUGUUGUUAGAGAAGAACAAGGAUGAGAGUAACUGUUCAUCCCUUGACGGUAUCUAACCAGAAAGCCACGGCUAACUACGUGCCAGCAGCCGCGGUAAUACGUAGGUGGCAAGCGUUGUCCGGAUUUAUUGGGCGUAAAGCGAGCGCAGGCGGUUUCUUAAGUCUGAUGUGAAAGCCCCCGGCUCAACCGGGGAGGGUCAUUGGAAACUGGGAGACUUGAGUGCAGAAGAGGAGAGUGGAAUUCCAUGUGUAGCGGUGAAAUGCGUAGAUAUAUGGAGGAACACCAGUGGCGAAGGCGGCUCUCUGGUCUGUAACUGACGCUGAGGCUCGAAAGCGUGGGGAGCAAACAGGAUUAGAUACCCUGGUAGUCCACGCCGUAAACGAUGAGUGCUAAGUGUUGGAGGGUUUCCGCCCUUCAGUGCUGCAGCUAACGCAUUAAGCACUCCGCCUGGGGAGUACGACCGCAAGGUUGAAACUCAAAGGAAUUGACGGGGGCCCGCACAAGCGGUGGAGCAUGUGGUUUAAUUCGAAGCAACGCGAAGAACCUUACCAGGUCUUGACAUCCUUUGACCAAGCGCCAGCAUGCAAGAAAUUAGCCGUAUGAAAAGCUUAGUUCAAGAGAUGCUAGACCAGCUCGUGUCGUGAGAUGUUGGGUUAAGUCCCGCAACGAGCGCAACCCUUAUUGUUAGUUGCCAUCAUUCAGUUGGGCACUCUAGCAAGACUGCCGGUGACAAACCGGAGGAAGGUGGGGAUGACGUCAAAUCAUCAUGCCCCUUAUGACCUGGGCUACACACGUGCUACAAUGGGAAGUACAACGAGUUGCGAAGUCGCGAGGCUAAGCUAAUCUCUUAAAGCUUCUCUCAGUUCGGAUUGCAGGCUGCAACUCGCCUGCAUGAAGCCGGAAUCGCUAGUAAUCGCGGAUCAGCACGCCGCGGUGAAUACGUUCCCGGGCCUUGUACACACCGCCCGUCACACCACGAGAGUUUGUAACACCCGAAGUCGGUGAGGUAACCUUUUGGAGCCAGCCGCCUAAGGUGGGAUAGAUGAUUGGGGUGAAGUCGUAACAAGGUAGCCGUAUCGGAAGGUGCGGCUGGAUCACCUCCUUU
rnacentral:rRNA from 1 species